AAAAAAAGAAUCCUCGUCUUUACAGUCUUAUCAAUUGUGAUAAGAAAGCGCUCUUAGUUCAGUUCGGUA
rnacentral:sRNA from 1 species